rnacentral:lncRNA from 1 species
GAAGUCAGUUAUAGUUUUUCACUCUCUUCAGGAGCAUGGACACAGAGACCCCAGAAAAAGUAGAGGAAACCUCGGGAAAAUCUUCCAGCCCAAUGGUGACCACUGUGAACAUCUCACACUUCUAAGCCAGAUCAUCACUAGCAGGAAGCUCUCUCCUCCUUCUCUGGAUAUGACCAGACACCCUUGAGGAUGCAAUGGGAAACCCAUCACGAACAAUGCAAAGAGAACACCAUGACCUGGCCCCAGCCCCAGCCCCAGCCAACACUGCUGAGCCCAAUCCAGAGCAUUGGGCUCCAGGAUGCACAAGCCCUGCAGGACAUCUGAAGGCUGAGAAGUCUGGACCAGCAGCAUUAGGAUCCCAGAGCUUGGUAGAAAGACUCUAUCCCACUCUGCUGCACCAGACCAGGGUCUGCAGUCUGCAAGAACUUUACAGUUGGAG